rnacentral:rRNA from 1 species
AGGACGAACGCUGGCGGCGUGCUUAACACAUGCAAGUCGAGCGGAAAGGCCCUUCGGGGUACUCGAGCGGCGAACGGGUGAGUAACACGUGAGCAACCUGCCCUUAGCUCUGGGAUAGCUCCGGGAAACCGGAUUAAUACCGGAUAUGACCUAGGCCGACAUCGGCCGUGGUGGAAAGUUUUUCGGCUAGGGAUGGACUCGCGGCCUAUCAGCUAGUUGGUGGGGUAAUGGCCUACCAAGGCGACGACGGGUAGCCGGCCUGAGAGGGCGACCGGCCACACUGGGACUGAGACACGGCCCAGACUCCUACGGGAGGCAGCAGUGGGGAAUCUUGCGCAAUGGGCGAAAGCCUGACGCAGCGACGCCGCGUGGGGGAUGAAGGCCUUCGGGUUGUAAACCCUUUCAGCAGGGACGAAGCGAAAGUGACGGUACCUGCAGAAGAAGCGCCGGCUAACUACGUGCCAGCAGCCGC